rnacentral:rRNA from 1 species
AAAAAUUAAAAUUAAAAUAUUAAAGUAGUAAUAGUUAUGAUCUUGAAAUUUAAAAAAUUUGGCGGUAUUUUAGUCUAUUCAGAGGAACCUGUUUAAUAAUCGAUAGUCCACGUUGGACCUUACUUAAAUUUGUAAAUUAGUUUAUAUAUCGUUGUUUAUAGAAUAUUUUAUAAAAAUAAUAAUUUUCAAAAUUUUUUAUUAAAAUUUAUAUCAGAUCAAGAUGUAGCUUAUGUUUAAGUUUAAAAUGGGUUACAAUUUUAUUAAAAUUGGAUUUAAUAUUGAAAUAUAUUUUUAAAAUUGGAUUUGAUAGUAAAUUUAUAAAGAUAAAUAAAUUGAUUUUAGCUCUAAAAUAUG